UACGGAGGGGGCUAGCGUUGUUCGGAAUUACUGGGCGUAAAGCGCACGUAGGCGGCUUUGUAAGUUAGAGGUGAAAGCCCAGGGCUUAACCCUGGAAUUGCCUUUAAGACUGCAUCGCUAGAAUCGUGGAGAGGUGAGUGGAAUUCCGAGUGUAGAGGUGAAAUUCGUAGAUAUUCGGAAGAACACCAGUGGCGAAGGCGACUUACUGGACACGUAUUGACGCUGAGGUGGCGAAAGCGUGGGGAGCAAACAGG
rnacentral:rRNA from 1 species